UGCAGUCGAACGGCAGCACGGAGCUUGCUCUGGUGGCGAGUGGCGAACGGGUGAGUAAUAUAUCGGAACGUACCCUAGAGUGGGGGAUAACGUAGCGAAAGUUACGCUAAUACCGCAUACGAUCUAAGGACGAAAGUGGGGGAUCGCAAGACCUCAUGCUCGUGGAGCGGCCGAUAUCUGAUUAGCUAGUUGGUAGGGUAAAAGCCUACCAAGGCAUCGAUCAGUAGCUGGUCUGAGAGGACGACCAGCCACACUGGAACUGAGACACGGUCCAGACUCCUACGGGAGGCAGCAGUGGGGAAUUUUGGACAAUGGGCGAAAGCCUGAUCCAGCAAUGCCGCGUGAGUGAAGAAGGCCUUCGGGUUGUAAAGCUCUUUUGUCAGGGAAGAAACGGUGAGAGCUAAUAUCUUUUGCUAAUGACGGUACCUGAAGAAUAAGCACCGGCUAACUACGUGCCAGCAGCCGCGGUAAUACGUAGGGUGCAAGCGUUAAUCGGAAUUACUGGGCGUAAAGCGUGCGCAGGCGGUUUUGUAAGUCUGAUGUGAAAUCCCCGGGCUCAACCUGGGAAUUGCAUUGGAGACUGCAAGGCUAGAAUCUGGCAGAGGGGGGUAGAAUUCCACGUGUAGCAGUGAAAUGCGUAGAU
rnacentral:rRNA from 1 species